rnacentral:rRNA from 1 species
UACGUAGGGGGCAAGCGUUGUCCGGAUUUAUUGGGCGUAAAGAGCGUGUAGGCGGCUUUACAGGUCCGUUGUGAAAACUCGAGGCUCAACCUCGAGACGCCGGUGGAAACCGUAAAGCUAGAGUCCGGAAGAGGAGAGUGGAAUUCCUGGUGUAGCGGUGAAAUGCGCAGAUAUCAGGAAGAACACCCGUGGCGAAGGCGGCUCUCUGGGACGGUACUGACGCUGAGACGCGAAAGCGUGGGGAGCGAAUAGG